rnacentral:ncRNA from 1 species
UUAAAGUUUUAUUCUUGCUUACGAGUUUGCGUUAAUUUUGCUUUACAUGUAAGUUUGGGCGUGAAGUUUAGAUAAUUCUUGAGGGGUUAUUUAUUAGGUUGUUAAUCGCAGUAUUUAAUUUUAUAAAUCGGAGCAAUCUGGAUUUAGCAAAUGUUGAAGUGUUGGCUAAAUUCGUGCCAGCCGCCGCGGUUACACGAAGGAUACAAGCGAACUUUUUUAGUUAAUAGUUAAAUGUUAAGUUGGAGCUUAGUAUUAAAUUUUGUUAGGUGAAAUUUUAAAUUAAAAUAAUUUCUUGUUAGAUUGUUGAAGCUGUGAAAUUUGAAUUUUAGACUAGGAUUAGAUACCCUAUUAUUUCAAAUGUAAAAUAAAUAAAGCUUGAGUAGUAUUAGAUAUGUUCUUCAAACUCAAAGAAUUUGGCGGUAUUUUAAGUCCUUUUAGAGGAACCUGCCCCGUAAUCGAUAGUCCACGUUAGAUCUUACUUAAUUUUGUUAUCAAUUUGUAUACCGCCGUCGUCGGAAUGUCCUAUUAGGGAGAAAAUUUUCUUGAUUUUUAAAUAGAAAGGAUGUCAGGUCAAGGUGCAGUUUAUGGUUAAGUGGAGGUGGGUUACAAUAAAUUUAUUUAUACGGAGAAGAGUUUGAUUAGGAAUUUUUUGAAGGUGGAUUUGAUUGUAAUGCUGGUUAUUGAGCCAGUUUGAUUUAGGCUCUAAAGUAUGCACACAUCGCCCGUCGCUCUCAUUAGUUAAGGUGAGAUAAGUCGUAACAUAGUAGAUGUACUGGAAGGUGUAUCUGGAAAGUU